AUGCCGCACAUCACAGAGAUCAAGAUGGCCAUGCGCAUGCCGAUGCCGCCCGCCGACAUCGGCGAGAGCGUCACCGCCGGCAACGGCUCUAGUGACCUUUCCAGGAUCUUCUCCAUGAGCUACUGGAAGGACACCAACUCCAGCAUCAUGUUCUUCACGCCUGGCCGCAAGAAGGCCAAGUUGUUCGGCGACAGCGAUGACGGCAUGGUCACCAGCUUCAGCAACAUUGACUCCCAGGAAAGAACAAGCAUCAACAAGAGGGUAAGGAGGCUGCAAAACCUCAUGACCAACAUGGACAAGGUAACUAAAUCAGUUGAAUUGAUGCACACUGUCAAUUAUGUUACCACAUAGAGAUGAAAUUGUCACCAAGAAUUACAGAAAAUCAUACUCGCUAAAGUACUAAAUCUGACGACUACAUGCUGCAUAUUUAGUGAUAAAACUGAAUACUGAAGUACUAAAAUUGACGUUCCUAACCCAAGUUGGAAGUGUUGCCCACGAAAAUUCAGAACCUCGGUAGUUGUCGAUGACUCGGACCUCCUGCCAGAUUUGCAGCCCGCAUGUCCUGCCGCCUCCCACACUAUCUCUGCCUAGCCGUCUCACUAGACGAAGAUGCGUACGAAGUCGAGACGCAUUCGGCUAAGCACCAUAUGCAGGUCAUUGUGCGGUACAGAAACUUUACUCUGAAUUUGUCACUACAGGUUGCAUGCAAUUUCAUACUGUUAGUUUCAGAUUUUCCAAUUUUCUCUAUGCAUAUAGUAGAUGCUUCUAUGAAUCUGUACCCAUCUUUGGUUCAUCUUAUUUAAUUCAGUUAAAGUUAUAUUGAAAAUUUCCCAGUUCUCUUUUUUAAUGUUGUACUUACUCGGAGUCUUUCUCUCCUGCUAGGCUAAUUUACAGAGUUUUACUGACCUGCAUUCGCUUUAUGUCUUUUCUUCGUUCAUUUGGCGAACUAACUUUGUCAUCCAUAGUGUAAUUUCCUUUUGGGCUCCCCUUGCACCAGGAAGAUAUGUCAAGUUCUCUGAAUCUCGAAGUGCCCAUGGGCAUCACAUUUAUUUAAUUAGUUCCAUGUAGAGAUUCAAUCAUCUCAGUGAAUCGUUUUCUUUUUUCCAAAUGAACUGAAUUGGGAUAGAUAGGUAUUACUUUAAUUAUUGUGAUUUUGGUUCAUGUUAUUUCGUGAAAGGAACUAUGGUGGAUGCAAAUUUCUUGAUGGAUUAACUUUAUAUCUUCUGUUUUCAAACCAAGAUUGUGGUGAAUGGGUGUUGAUAUGAGGUGCAGGUUGACCAACGGGUGGACCGGUGCCGGCGUGAGGAUAGGGCCGGUGGAUGGAACAGAAGACAGUGGACGAUAUUGACAUUGGAGAACGGGCGCAUCUCCAUAGGUGGAAGUUUAUUUACCUGGACGAUGUUGGGGUACUGUUAUGACCAAUUUCCCAAUUUCUUAUGAAUAGUCUGUUUGAUAAUUGCACUGACCAUUUCAACAUAGUCGAAGUCUUUGUUUUAGUGUGUAUAGUAACAACACGAAAUGCAAUAGUAAUUUGAGGCCUACAAGAAACAGUAACAUCGGCGGAUUCCAGUCCAAUGCAGAUAUUAGGCUUUGCUAACUGGACAUCACCAAGUUCAAGGUAUUGAUGUACCUAAUCUUAGGCUUUGCCAAAUCUUAAAGUUAACAUGACAUCAGGGGUCUCACGACAGCUAUUAAAUAUGCUUAUUAGGCUUUGCCAGAGCUUAAGGUUACAUGACAUCAGUGGUCUCACGGCGGCUGUUAAAUAUGCUUAUUAGGCUUUGCCAGAUCUUAAAGUUACAUGACAUCAGGGGUCUCACAACGGUUUCUAACCAAUAGAAAGUGACAAUCGUUGGUAUAUAUGAGGCAAUGUCUAAUAUUUUCUUAGAAUAAUGUUUUUAUUAAUUAGAUGAUUAUCACUUUCAUGGUGUGCCUACUUUCAGAGAUGUAAAAUCCAGAACUCUGUGUAAUGUGCCUUGAAUAUCUAUUCAGCAGUUGAAUAGCAAUUUCAAAUCA